GCUCACUUCAGCAGCACAUAGUAACAUUGGAAUGAUACAGAGAAGGUUAGCAUGACCCCUGCCCAAGAAUGACAUGCAAAUUCAUGAAGCAUUCCAAUGUUUU